UGUAGUUGCCUUACAAAUGGAUGGAUC
rnacentral:piRNA from 1 species